rnacentral:lncRNA from 1 species
GAACAUAAUUUACAUUAAAGUUACAGUUGUUUUCUGUUUUAACACAAGUUAUCAUACAUAGAGGUGUAACAUAGUGUAAUGAUUAGACCUGAUACAUCAGAAAACUAAUCAAAAAUAAGAUGUAGGAAACUAAUCCAAAAUAAGAUGAAGAUGUAGGAAACUAAUCCAAAAUAAGAUGACAAGAUCCAAGCCUACAUUAGGUGAUGUGCGUAGGGACAGACACCACAGCGGGAGGUAUAUACAUGAUAUUAUAUUGGGGCUAAUGCAAUCCACAUAAUUAUAUACAUAAACCUUAGAAAACUACAAGCGCAACUUCACUUUAUCUACAAAAGUCAAGCGAACAGCCUAGUCCAUUCACAAAAGGCAAGCACGAUCAAUUGUCAUGUGUUCAAACUUUAGUUUUCUCGAGGCUGCAAACAACAAAUACAAGAAUGUGACUCCAUAAAUAUUCCAUAUGUCAUGUUCCAUCCACCAAAAAGGAAUUGGCAUAUGAGUUCAUUGUAUUUCACAACCAUUUAACUGUAAAGUGAUUGAUUGUCAUCAAGGCCAAAUUGUAUACGGGGAUGUAUACGACACAUGCAAAGUUAACCAAAAUAAAUCUUUCACUCGCAGCCAUUGUUGAGCGGUGUUUUUUCUUAACAUACAAAUAUUUGAUAUGGUACAGAUUAAACUGUGGUCAGAGGACAUUCUUUUCGCAUAGUUUUACUUUUACUUAUGCUGCAUCGGUAGGUACUUAAGCAAUGAUGAGAAAAAUAAUUCUGAAAGUAGGUUUUUACUAUGUAGGCCAUCUCAUUUACAUAACAUAGUUCAAGUGAAUCUAUCACCAUUUCCUAGCCCUGUUUAGAUAUCUACAUAUUCUUUGCAGUUGAAACAAGCACAUAUGGAUAUGGAGGCAUUAUGCGAAAAUAAAGCCAAGCCAGUGGAACCCAACAUAGUCGGCAAAUGAGAUAUUUCCUAUGUCAUUUUAGAGAAAAAGAAAAAAGAGACAGCAACACCUUAACUUAGGGGCAGAUCCACACUGCACUCAGUGGUGUCCUUUCAGGCUGUGACAUCAGUGAUUUGAGGAAUUACCUCUGUAACCCUACUGCUAUGCAAAUAAUAAUCCUAUAGGCUAAUGUUUUAGCAAGAUAAUUUACUGGUGGCACAAGUGAAUUAAUUUCUUAGACCAGCCUCUGCCUUAACUCAUUAUACUAUGGAAUAGUCAUCGUCCUGUAUUUCAAUGGUAGUGUUGGGCUAUGCUCCAUCCAUUUCCAUGUAGGUUACAAUAUAAUAGUGUAGACGAUUAUAACUGUGAGAUCAUACACAAUCUCACAAUCCGAUCGAAUUAACGAGCUUCACAAAAUUAAACUGGUGGCAUGAAGGCAAAGAAAACAAUGGCAUGAAGGCAAAGAAACAUUGGACGAUAUAUUGUCCUAUCUAAGUGAAAACAGGGGCUAACUAUUAGGAGCCAAAGGACUACACAGAGAAGUUGUAGGGCGUUGCCUGUUGAAAGAAUAAAAACAUAUUAAAUUACAUUACAAUUUGUUUAGAAAAUAAUUUUGUCCCAUGGGAGGAUUCUACCAGUCCCAGUGUGAUGCUGCUACUGAUCCACUUUCUACUGUCCAUAAGGAUAGCCUUGGUAUGCUUGCAAGCACAGAAGUUGAAGAGAAGGAGCAGAUAAAGCGCUAGUAUUCAUGCAAAGCUAAGAAAAGAUGGCUCAGGAAUAAGUUUGUUGUUGUUGUUGUGUGUAGCAGAUUCGUUCUUGAACAAAUAAUAAGGUAUAAAGAAAUAGGGCAGCAUCACAUGAACACAAAUUACAUUGCAUGAUGUUAAUAGAGAAUCAAGCAUACCGGGUGUAGUAAGCAACAACUCUGCAAGUAAGGUAUUGUUAGAUAAUUGGUUAGGUCGUGUGCCUAGUUGGUUCCAGGUAACCUCGCGAUCGUAUAUAGCCUUAACAACAAUCCCCUUGCCUUGUCCGUAAUAGCGAGCAAUAACAUCAUUCUCCAUCACACGAGGCAACUGAAAGAUACAAGCACCAGUUUUGGUUAAGUGGCACGAAAUUACUUUGCUCCAAGUUGGGAUAGCUCUAUCGAACGAAAUAAAGGGAAAUACCAACAAGCUAAUAAUAAGUGGGAACCGCACCUAAGGUAUGAUAAGAAUAAACAAACCACCAAGUGCGCACAACUCAAGCUCCUAGACACUGGCGGAGCUAUAUGUCGAAAAACGUAGACCAUGCCCCCGUGAUCUGAAUUGUUGUAAUUUGCUAGGCACUUCCUUCACAGUAUUGCAACUAUAAGAACAAAAAGAUCACAUUUAAUGACAUGUCCAAAAAUAAUAAAGGUUUCAAUUUAAACAAAUGUAUAGGUCAUGCUUAAAAUAACAAAAAACCUAGCUGCAAUGAAACUAUUUGGAAAUUGUUUGUCAAACUAAAAGGGGGCAGUAAGGUAAUGUUGGCUUUGUGGUGUCGGUCUGUCCGUUGGAUAUUGUCUUUUUGGUGUCUAUUAUUUUAUCUCCAAUGUUUCUUGUGCCCUUUCUCUGUAUUACACUAAAAAUCGCUAGAGUCCAGCUGAGGCGCGCAAAUGUGUGCCUUACUUUGAAUAUGACCAAAAGACUACCAGAUUACGUGCUUGUAAAAUAUUCAAGAUGGUCAUUCACUCAUUACACCAGGCCAACGGAGGUUCAAUUCGUUGAUGUAUAUAGGACAGUUAAAACUAAAAAAUGUAAAGUUUUACAACAAGGUCUAGGUGUCUACUGUCUACGUAACAGUUUAUAAAAAAACCAGGUCAAUUGCACAAAUCCUAAUAAGAAAAAGUUUCAGGCACAAAUUCACCAGAAAAUACAGGAUGAGUAAGAAUGUGUCUUACUCUGGAAAGUUGGAUGCUUUCCGAUAGAAGACAGUUGAAAAAUGAACCUAAACAUUGGGGAAAAUAAUCGGAUACCUAAACUCUAAAGCAUGACAGGACAAAGACAGGUUAAACCGGUGAUACCGACCCAUUCUUGUUAGCCGAUUCACCCACCCAAGGAUUGAUCUCCUGGCCAAGUUCUUACAGACAUCAU